UACCCAGCUAACCAACUGGAAGAGAUCCAUAUUUGUGCCCAUUCCAAAGAAAGAAUCCAGGCAGAAGUUUCCUAGUGACUAUAUUUCCUGACAAUUUUAGUAUGUAUGGCUGAUGCUGCAGUGAAAACUUCACCCAAUUCUAAAAUCCAAGAAAAUUCCAACACCAAGUUAAAUGUAUGGACCUGAAAUCUGUGCCUAUUUACGGUGAUACUCCCCUCUACUUGCCAUCCUGUGGAAGAUAUGACUAUGUCCUUCUGAUGCAUUGGCCUUAUUUGAGAAAUUCUUCACUGAUAAGAGCAGCCACGCAAUUUCUCUUUGACCUCAUAAAACUACCUAAUCACCAUGGAACCAUCAAAAGAAGACCAGGCUUUUAGCAAUAUUAUGAGUAUCCUCAUUCUUCAGAGGAUGGAGUAAGGCA